CCCCCUUACAAGAUAAAGUCCAAACAUAUUAAAAUACAAAGAAUCAAAGUUCAAAGCUCAAAAUUUGCUUUCGCUGUACAAAAAGAAAAAAAUUGAAUGCCUUCCCAGCUCCUGAUUCUGAGUGUCUCCACCGUGGGGUUCCUGAAGUUAGAGGCUGGCAGAAGCUCCACCAUCUAGAAUGCAGUUCAUUCUUGUGACUGAAGAACAGGCCACUGGAGACGUUGCAUGUCGCUCAUCGUGCUUUCGUUGAGGAGUGCACACCCCACUUCCGCCAUCACAAUUCAGAUUAUGCCAAAGUAAACCAGGACUGUCCAUUGGAAAAGGCAAAACUAGCUGGGCAUGGUAGUGCACGCCUAUAAUCCCAGCACUCAGGAGGCUGAGGCAGGGGGACUGCUAUGUCUACAAGGCUAGCCUGAACUACACAGUGAGAUCAUCUCAAAAAACAACACAAACAAAAAAGAACUGGCAAAUCUUACUGAGUCCUUUCAUAACACAAACCAGUUACUUACUGCUAACACCCUCCAUGUGCCAAUGAAAUAAUUUGGAACAACUAAUUUAUAAUGGAAAUGAUAAGAAAUAAAAAUAUAUCUUUUGGGGCCAAG
ensembl:lncRNA